rnacentral:misc_RNA from 1 species
CAAUAUCACAAACUCCUUUUGUCUUAUUAAGCUGAAAGGGUGUUUUGAAUAUGUGGAUGUUGCUGAGAGAGAUUUUCUUCCAGCUCUUCUGAAAUAUAUUAGCAAAACUUAUUGCUGGGUUUAUCUUCUGAUAUGAUAAUUAUCGAUAUCAGUUGAAUUCCGGAUCGUGAUUUUGCUUUCAAACCUGUCUUGUAUGUUGCAAGACAACAAUAUCAAU